UGUUUACAUUUUGAUUGUUUACCUUGGCUUUCUAGUGUACAUUUUAAGAAAACUCGUCAAAAUGUAAACAAAACUCUUAUUACAUUUCUGUUUUAGAAUAAUUUUCAAAAUUAGUAGCCUCUGGCCACUUGCUUACUUCCAUAAAGGUCAGUUCCGGCUAGAAAGUCAGUGUUCACGUGACCCUUGUUAGUUUACUUCUUACUUCCUGAUUGACGUAUUUUCUGGACUAGUCUUACUGGACGUUAUUGUAGACAAACCAUGAAGACUUGCCUAUUUGUACUUCUGUUCAUGUCUCUCUUGUUACUAAAGCCAGGUCAAACGUUUAGGCCACAGCACAGAUGUAAGUCAGGGCACGUGCAUUGUUUCCCAAACCCGUGCAGACUGCUACAUUGCCGUGACAAGUGUAUCAGGGGAUGUUACUGUCGUGCCUAUUGUAGCUAACUAUGUACUCGAUCGCACUGACCUCUCCAGACCUGCUCUGCACUGAACUAAAUACACGAGGUUGAAAGGGUGAACGUUUAAGACCAUUAAACUUAAGUAAA